AUGCUGUCACUCUUCCAAGCAUUACCUCUUGCUGUCCUUGAAGCCUAUUGUGUGUAUGGUGCAGGUUGUCUAGAGCAACCUCAACUUUCCAGUACUAAAAGGCUGUCAAAAACAGCCCCCUGGAAUGUGUGGUAUCUUGUGACAAUUUCUACGAUGUCCGUAUAUUGGUAUCAGGAAAGCCCUGGUCAAGUCCUGCAACCCCUGCUGCACGUUUCAUCUGACAACACUGUCAGGAUGGAGUCAGGCGUUCCGAUCGGCAAAUUUAAGGUAGAUGAGAUACCUGAACCUUCUAUGUCCACACUCACCACUCACAAUGUAGGGACAGAAGACUCGGCCACCUACUACUGUGCCUUCUGGGAGGUGCACAGUGAAUUAUCAAACUGGAUCAAGAAAUUUGGAAAAGGAACUAAGCUCAUAGUAACUCCAUCUGAUGCACGCCUUCCUGCAGACAUUUCCCCCAAGCCCACCAUUUUUCUUCCAUCAAUUGCUGAAAUAAACUACCAUAAGGCUGGAACAUAUCUUUGUCUUCUUGAGAAAUUCUUCCCUGAUGUUAUCAAGGUGUAUUGGAAAGAAAAGAACAGGGAUACAAUCCUGCAAUCCCAGCAGGGAAAUACCAUGAAGACUGAUAACACUUACAUGAAAUUCAGCUGGCUGACCGUGACUGGAAAGUCAAUGGAUAAAGAACACGAAUUCAUUGUCCAACACGAGAAUAACAAAGGAGGGGUUGACCAAGAGAUUCUUUUUCCUUCAGUCAACAAAGUUGUCACCUCAAUGGCCACUACUACUGGUCCUACAGAGGCUUCUCCGACAGAGGAGAGCAUUGCCACUACUCUUGAUUCUACAAUAGUUUCCCCAACAGAGGAAAGUGAGCUCUCUGCUCUUAAUUACACAAAACCUUGUCUGAAAGAUGAAAGCGACACCCUGCGGCUGCAGCUCACCAACACCUCUGCCUAUUACACCUACCUCGUGUUCCUUCUCGUGAGCGCAGUCUACCUUGCCACCGUCGCCUUGUGUGUGUUAAGGAGAACAGCUGUCUGGGGCAAUGGAAAGAGUUCCUAACAGAUGGUGACCCAAGAAAUCAACUUUCCUCCAUUGUUUAUACACCCUACAACUUUCUGCCCAGGAUCUAGUCGGACUUUCUCUCUGGGUUUGGGUUAUUUCAGUUCACAUGUGUACUUUUCUGUUAUGUCAUUAUUGUGUACUGGUUUUUCAAAUCACUGGACAAACAGAAAAUCCUACUCUGUAACGAUGCUGAAUACUGCCAUUACUCAGGGGCAGGGCCAAGCGGUAGUCCUUUAGCACCACUCUCUCCAUGAUCCCCAUCAGCUCCUCCAACAACCCGAAUAACCAUGCCUUCUGAGUACAGACAACAUGUGGCUCUAGUCACGUCGCUUAGGACCUUUUAACCAGAACCGCCUUGAAGCCCUCCAUUUUACACACCCUAAUCCAACAUCAUUGUUACUUAAAUUCUAUAUAUUUUUUUUUCAUAAUAGGAGCAAUAAAAAUAUCAAAAGUC